rnacentral:rRNA from 1 species
GACGUAGGGCGCGAGCGUUGUCCGGAUUUAUUGGGCGUAAAGAGCUCGUAGGCGGCUUGUUGCGUCGACUGUGAAAACCCGCGGCUUAACUGCGGGCUUGCAGUUGAUACGGGCAGGCUAGAGUUCGGUAGGGGAGACUGGAAUUCCUGGUGUAGCGGUGAAAUGCGCAGAUAUCAGGAGGAACACCGGUGGCGAAGGCGGGUCUCUGGGCCGAUACUGACGCUGAGGAGCGAAAGCCAGGGGAGCAAACGGG